rnacentral:sRNA from 1 species
UCAUAGUGCGCAGCAUCCUAUGAACAUGAGUUCUUUCAGGAUGCGUGAGGUGGCUGCUCGCUAGAGCCGCCCCUGCCUGUGCAGCGGUGAGGCCGUCGAGGUCUCCGGCUCAGGCUAAUUCCCAGCAGUCACCCGGCCCGUGGGCUCACCGGUACAUCCCCGGUGCCCCGGCCGCCGUCCCCA